AAAAGAAGAGAAAAUAGCGAAGCCUUACAGAAGUAGAAGUUUCAAUCAUGACGAAACUAACAGUGAGUAAAUUCAAUAUUUUAAUUUCAUAUUUAUUUAAAAAAAUCUUUACCUAACAUUAAAUUCAUACUCCCUCAUUUAGUUAAGCAUCGGCAUCGCUCUGGAAUUUCCACAUACAAUAAAGCAACGCGACUUGGUUCUGUUCAAUUCAAUGAGAAUCAAAGCCAUUGUUUUUGGGCAUUUCUAUGCGGUCCCAGAUUGUGGUUAAUUGUCGAAUUAUGAGUAAUUGCCCGACUGCGACAUUAGAAGAAAGAUUGUCGUCAAAGCUAUCACCGCCAUCAAUCAAAGUACGCUAAAUGAUAGCUUAUCUAAAUCAAAUGAG
rnacentral:lncRNA from 1 species